UUCUUUUUGAUUUUUUAAAAAGUAAAACCUGCCCACUGAAUAUUGAAGGGCCGCGGUAUUUUGACCGUGCUAAGGUAGCAUAAUCAUUAGUCUCUUAAUUAGGGAAUUGUAUGAAUGGUUAAUUCUUCAAAAAUUUUAUUUUUUCGUAUAAUCGAAUUUUAAUUGUAAGUGAAAAUGCUUAUAACUUGAAAAAAGACGAUAAGACCCUUUAGAUCUUUAUUUUUCUUAAAACUUAAUCUAAGUUUUUAACUAAAAGUUUAGUUGGGGCAACAAAAGAAUAGAAAAAACUUCUUUGUACAUUUAAUAUCUUAUUUUAUAAAAAUAAAAAGUUACCUAAGGGAUAACAGCGUUAUAAUUUUUGAGAGUUCUUAUCGACAUAAUUGUUUGCGACCUCGAUGUUGAAUUAAAAAUCCUAUGUGGGGCAGCAUUUAAACAAGGAAGUCUGUUCGACUAGUAAAUUUUU
rnacentral:rRNA from 1 species